rnacentral:rRNA from 1 species
GACGAACGCUGGCGGCGUGCUUAACACAUGCAAGUCGAACGGAAAGGCCCUGCUUGCAGGGUACUCGAGUGGCGAACGGGUGAGUAACACGUGGGUGAUCUGCCCUGCACUUCGGGAUAAGCCUGGGAAACUGGGUCUAAUACCGGAUAUGACCUUCCAUGUAGUGUGGGGGGUGGAAGAUUUAUCGGUUUGGGAUGAGCCCGCGGCCUAUCAGCUUGUUGGUGGGGUAAUGGCCUACCAAGGCGUCGACGGGUAGCCGGCCUGAGAGGGUGGACGGCCACAUUGGGACUGAGAUACGGCCCAGACUCCUACGGGAGGCAGCAGUGGGGAAUAUUGCACAAUGGGCGGAAGCCUUAUGCAGCGACGCCGCGUGGGGGAUGACGGCCUUCGGGUUGUAAACCUCUUUCGACAGGGACGAAGCUUCGGUGACGGUACCUGUAUAAGAAGCACCGGCUAACUACGUG